CGUGAGUCCAGUUCAAGGAGCUGUUGAGGCGGUUGCACGUCCGGUUGGAGGUCUUGUUGACGCGGUUGCACGUCCGGUUGGAGGUCUUGUUGACGCGGUUGCACGUCCGGUUGGAGGUCUUGUUGAUGCGGUUGCACGUCCAGUUGGAGGUCUUGUAAGGGAUGUUGUGAGUCCAGUUGGAGAAGCUCUUGGGGAUGUUGUGCGUCCAGUUGGAGGUCUUCUUAGGGGUAUACUGGGGAAAUGAUCUGUGGACUAAGAAUUAUGAAUUAAUAACUCAAAUGCUGACGAAACCGGAUUGGCUGACUUCGAUGAUGACACCUGCCAUUAUGCUUCCUGAGCUGCUGCUUCACAACUCUCUCACCAAUCAAAUGCUGACUGAAAAUCAUGAAUCAUACUGAAUGGGCCUCUAGCUGAUUACUGUGACAGUCAUUGAUUUUUUUAUGCUUUUUGAUGUAACAGG